rnacentral:rRNA from 1 species
GUUCCUACGGGGGGCAGCAGUCGGGAAUAUUGCGCAAUGGAGGAAACUCUGACGCAGUGACGCCGCGUAUAGGAAGAAGGUUUUCGGAUUGUAAACUAUUGUCGUGAGGGAAGAAAUUGACAGUACCUCAGGAGGAAGCUCCGGCUAACUAUGUGCCAGCAGCCGCGGUAAUACAUAGGGAGCAAGCGUUAUCCGGAUUUAUUGGGUUUAAAGGGUGCGCAGGCGGCCUGUUAAGUCAGCGGUAAAAGCCCGGGGCUCAACCCCGGCGAGCCGUUGAAACUGGCGGGCUGGAGUUGGAGAGAAGG